rnacentral:rRNA from 1 species
CCCUACGGGGGGCAGCAGUGGGGAAUAUUGGACAAUGGGGGAAACCCUGAUCCAGCAAUGCCGUGUGUGUGAAGAAGGCCUGCGGGUUGUAAAGCACUUUAAGUUGGGAAGAAAAGCUGAUGGUUAAUACCCAUCAGUGUUGACGUUACCAACAGAAUAAGCACCGGCUAACUCUGUGCCAGCAGCCGCGGUAAUACAGAGGGUGCAAGCGUUAAUCGGAAUUACUGGGCGUAAAGGGUGCGUAGGCGGUCUCUUAAGUCGGAUGUGAAAUCCCUGGGCUUAACCUAGGAAUUGCAUACGAUACUGAAAGACUUGAGUACAGUAGAGGAUAGUGGAAUUCCACGUGUAGCGGUGAAAUGCGUAGAUAUGUGGAGGAACACCAGUGGCGAAGGCGGCUAUCUGGACUGAUACUGACGCUGAGGCACGAAAGCGUGGGGAGCAAACAGGAUUAGAUACCCCGGUAGC